CAUGUAUGAGUGAGUAUGACAACUAGAACCAUAACCGAAUCUUAAAAACCUAAGUAUUAAAUCUUUGUUAGAAGAUACAAAGACAAAGACUCAUACGGACUUCAACUACACUAUCAAAGCUUGGAGAAGCAAGAAGAAGCUUGGUUAGUGUUUUGGAGUCGAAUAUGACUUGAUGCCAUGUGUAUGACUCAAUAUAAAAACUAGAACCGCAACAGAUCUUAAAAGCAUAAGUAUUGUAUCAUUGUUAGAAGAUACAAUGACGAAGACUCAUAUGGACUUCGGCUACACCAUCAAAGCUUUGAGAAGCAAGAAGCAGCUUGGUUAGUGGUUCGGAGUCGAAUAUGACUUGAUGUCAUGUGUAUGAGUGAGUAUAAAAACUAGAACCGCAACGGAUCUUAAAAGCCUAAAUAUUGUAUCCUUGUUAGAAGAUACAUAGACAAAGACUCAUACGGAAUUCGGCUAAACCAUCAAAGCUUUAAGAAGCAAGAAGAAGCUUGGUUAGUGUUUUGGAGAGAAAUAUGACUAGGUGUCAUGUGUAUGAGUGAGUAUACCAACUAGAACCGCAAUUGGAAUUUUAAAAGCCUAAGUACUGUAUCCUUAUAAGAAGAUACAAAGACAAACACUCAUACGGACUUUGGCUACACCAUCAAAGCUUUGAGAAGCAAGAAGAAGCUUGGUUAGUGUUUUCGAGUGGAAUAUGACUUGAUGUGAUGUGUAUGAUUGAGUAUAAGAAAUUAAACUGCAACCGGAUCUUAAAAGCCUAAGUAGUGUUUCCUUGUUAGAAGAUACAAAGGCAAAGCCUCAUACAGACUUUAGCUAUACCAUCAAAGCCUUGAGAAGCAAGAAGAAAUUUGGUUAGUGUUUUGGAGUCAAAUAUUACUAGAUGUCAUGUGUAUGAGUGAGUAUGACAACUAGAACCAUAACCGGAUCUUAAAAACCUAAGUAUUAAAUCUUUGUUAGAAGAUACAAAGACAAAGACUCAUACGGACUUUAACUACACUAUCAAAGCUUGGAGAAGCAAGAAGAAGCUUGGUUAGUGUUUUGGAUUCGAAUAUGACUUGAUGUCAUGUGUAUGACUCCGUAUAAAAACUAGAACCGCAACAGAUCUUAAAAGCAUAAGUAUUGUAUCAUUGUUAGAAGAUACAAUGACGAAGACUCAUAUGGACUUCGGCUAAACCAUCAAAGCUUUGAGAAGCAAGAAGCAGCUUGGUUAGUGGUUCGGAGUCGAAUAUGACUUGAUGUCAUGUGUAUGAGUGAGUAUAAAAACUAGAACCGCAACGGAUCUUAAAAGCCUAAAUAUUGUAUCCUUGUUAGAAGAUACAUAGACAAAGACUCAUACGGAAUUCGGCUAAACCAUCAAAGCUUUUAGAAGCAAGAAGAAGCUUGGUUAGUGUUUUGGAGUGAAAUAUGACUAGCUGUCAUGUGUAUGGGUGAGUAUACCAUCUAGAACCGCAAUUGGAAUUUUAAAAGCCUAAGUAUUGUAUCCUUGUUAGAAGAUACAAAGACAAACACUCAUACGGACUUUGGCUACACCAUCAAAGCUUUGAGAAGCAAGAAGAAGCUUGGUUAGUGUUUUGGAGUCGAAUAUGACUUGAUGCCAUGUGUAUGACUCAAUAUAAAAACUAGAACCGCAACAGAUCUUAAAAGCAUAAGUAUUGUAUCAUUGUUAGAAGAUACAAUGACGAAGACUCAUAUGGACUUCGGCUACACCAUCAAAGCUUUGAGAAGCAAGAAGCAGCUUGGUUAGUGGUUCGGAGUCGAAUAUAACUUGAUGUCAUGUGUAUGAGUGAGUAUAAAAACUAGAACCGCAACGGAUCUUAAAAGCCUAAAUAUUGUAUCCUUGUUAGAAGAUACAUAGACAAAGACUCAUACGGAAUUCGGCUAAUCCAUCAAAGCUUUUAGAAGCAAGAAGAAGCUUGGUUAGUGUUUUGGAGUGAAAUAUGACUAGAUGUCAUGUGUAUGGGUGAGUAUACCAUCUAGAACCGCAAUUGGAAUUUUAAAAGCCUAAGUAUUGUAUCCUUGUUAGAAGAUACAAAGACAAACACUCAUACGGACUUUGGCUACACCAUCAAAGCUUCGAGAAGCAAGAAGAAGCUUGGUUAGUGUUUUGGAGUCGAAUAUGACUUGAUGCCAUGUGUAUGACUCAAUAUAAAAACUAGAACCGCAACAGAUCUUAAAAGCAUAAGUAUUGUAUCAUUGUUAGAAGAUACAAUGACGAAGACUCAUAUGGACUUCGGCUACACCAUCAAAGCUUUGAGAAGCAAGAAGCAGCUUGGUUAGUGGUUCGGAGUCGAAUAUGACUUGAUGGCAUGUGUAUGAGUGAGUAUAAAAACUAGAACCGCAACGGAUCUUAAAAGCCUAAAUAUUGUAUCCUUGUUAGAAGAUACAUAGACAAAGACUCAUACGGUAUUCGGCUAAACCAUCAAAGCUUUUAGAAGAAAGAAGAAGGUUGGUUAGUGUUUUGGAGUGAAAUAUGACUAGAU
rnacentral:sRNA from 1 species